rnacentral:rRNA from 1 species
UAAGUAGGUAGUGAAAUCCUGGGGCUCAACCCUUUAAACAUUAUUUAAACUGCUAAGCUAGAAUAUAGAAGAGGUCGCUGGAAUUCCUUGUGUAGGAGUGAAAUCCGUAGAUAUAAGGAGGAACACCGAUGGCGUAGGCAGGCGACUGGUCUAUUAUUGACACUAAGGCACGAAAGCGUGGGUAGCAAACGGGAUUAGAUACCCCGGUAGUCCACGCCGUAAACUAUGGAUGCUA